UUGUGUUUGUUCCUGACUUGUGUUUGUUUCUGACUUACAGCAACAUGGCAACGGACCUGAGAUGAAUGUGGGCUACAGGGCCAAUAACGAGAGCUUAGCAGGCAAUGUUCCAACCAAACACAAACCCUGCUGCCCGUCUCCUGUAAGAAACCCAAAAUCUGCCCAUGCUGCCAAACAUAGGAAUGAUGAUGGUGACAACAUUUAUGGAAACAUGUAGCUGGUGGUUCUACACAACAAAGUGAAAUGAUGGGAGCAGGAAGCUGUUUUUCUGGACCACCCCCACACUUUAAAUUACUGUGUCCUGCUAUUUGCCAAACCUGAAGUGUUAACUAUCCUUCUCCUUAUAUAACUUGCAUUGCUGAUGUUAACAAUUAUACAGAUGACUACAGUCUGUACUGGACUUUGUUUUAAGUUUUAAAAAGACUUUGUUUUGCACACAAACAUCUUAUGUAUGUGUGUAAUGAAAAUCAGACUGCACAAACUGAAGAGUGAAUUUAAUGAAGUUUGUACUUAAUACAUUAUCUGCAAAUAUAAUUCUGGAAGAAUUCACCCCAAAAUACAGUGUAUGAUGCUCUUCAAUCACUUUGUCUUGUAGGGAAAGUAAUUAGGGGAGUUCAGAAUAUAGAGAGCUGGGUGUCUUGCUGGUCUGCCUUCUCCAAAGCCAAGUCCCCUCUUCCCAAGGCUUCUGAUGGUUCUUUUUAUUUUUUCAAUAAACAUGUAAUGUGUUUUGUCAAAUGAAGUUAGAUUUAUCUUCUGUUAGGACUUUGUGAGGACUAUGUUGGUUAUGUCCUAAUAUGUAAAACUAAAUAAAUAGAAUUGAAAGAGGGUGUUCUUUCUUUUUCACAUCACUGUAUCAUAGUCCCUGCUUCCAGCAUGAUGGGGCAAAGGGCUAAUCUCAGAUUUAAACCGGAACACCUCAAAACUGCAUUACAAGUGGACCAGCUAUACACAGCUGUGGAAUCGGGAUUAGCUAUUUCAAGUUGCAAUUCAGUUCUGUGGUCCAGAGGUUUAAACGUGAGGUUUAAUCUCCAGCUAAUCUCACUGCAAUUGAGCCCUGGGGUCUUGCCUCGUCUUUACUUGCUGAGGGAAUUUAUUGUCCCAGUCUUUUCGUAAUUUUUUUAUGCCCGUUUUAAUUUUGUUCCUGGGUUGCUAAUCAAAUGUGGUUCUUUAUAUUCAGUGAGUUCCAUAAUGUUAUAGAACUACGCGCGGCUAGCCUACCAAUACACAGAAACCCCCUUUCAAAGUGCUUCGUUUCUAUUUGUUCCGAUUAAGAGAAUCGCAUGGUCCAACACAAACGACACCACAGGAGGGAUAUUCACACUUGAUUUUUAAGUAGCUGCUGCCAUCUACUGGACAAAAUGUGCUGUGCUGUGCUAGGGAUCCAAGCAUGCAAGAGUGAAAAUUCCUUGUCCCAUAAAGAAAAGUUCAAAUUUAAUAACUUUUUUAUUGGUUAAAAAUGAUAACAAAAAAAAACUCAGAAGUCUUAAGAAAUAAAACUGAAAAUAAAAACAUGUUAAAUCACCUCGGAUGUCCACAUUGAACUCAAUGGGCAGCAAGCGCUUUUGUGUACAAGCAUGCACAGUACAGGCUGUUUCCUGCUACUUCGUAAGCUUCACCGUCUAGAUGCUAACAAGUUGCUGUAUUGAAAGUACAACAGCUGUCGCGUACAGGCGGGCCAAUAAGGAAACUUGAAUGGCGGUUGCCAGAAAUGCGACCGUUGUUGUCGUUGGAGCAGCCACUGGAGUCCACCAGGUGCCACUAAAAGAUACCACUCCGCCAGCUUCCGCUAAAACCGCCACUGGCGCCCGCCAGCUGCCACUAAACGAUUCAACCCCUAAUGGGAACUUUUUAAAAGUGUAUGUUACGUUCUCUUUGUUGGAGAAUUUGUGCUGGACUCAGCUCAAUGAACGGGGAUCACGUUCUGCUCAGCUUCUCAUUGAAGCCUCUGAGUUGGAACCAGCAGUCUAUGCGAUGCACACAGGCUACAAAACCUAAAAAACGACACCUGCUGUAAAAAAAAUAAAAUAAAA